UCCGAUAUGGUGUAACGGCUAACAUCGCCGCCUUUCAAGCUAAAUCAAAGCAUAGUCCGCGGCAGCUCGGGGUUCGAUUCCCCGUAUCGGAG